GGGGGCUAGCGUUGUUCGGAAUUACUGGGCGUAAAGCGCACGUAGGCGGCUUUGUAAGUUAGAGGUGAAAGCCCAGGGCUCAACCCUGGAAUUGCCUUUAAGACUGCAUCGCUUGAACAUCGGAGAGGUAAGUGGAAUUCCGAGUGUAGAGGUGAAAUUCGUAGAUAUUCGGAAGAACACCAGUGGCGAAGGCGACUUACUGGACGAUUGUUGACGCUGAGGUGCGAAAGCGUGGGGAGCAAACAGG
rnacentral:rRNA from 1 species